GAGGAGCGAGUGAAUACCAGUGCAUAUAAGCGGUUCUUGAAGGCUAAGUGGGAUACUGCGGACAGCGAUGGCAGU
rnacentral:ribozyme from 1 species